rnacentral:rRNA from 1 species
GAUGAACGCUGGCGGCGUGCCUAAUACAUGCAAGUCGAGCGAACAGGCGAGGAGCUUGCUCCUCUGACGUUAGCGGCGGACGGGUGAGUAACACGUGGAUAACCUACCUAUAAGACUGGGAUAACUUCGGGAAACCGGAGCUAAUACCGGAUAAUAUAUUGAACCGCAUGGUUCAAUAGUGAAAGACGGUUUUGCUGUCACUUAUAGAUGGAUCCGCGCCGCAUUAGCGAGUUGGUAAGGUAACGGCUUACCAAGGCAACGAUGCGUAGCCGACCUGAGAGGGUGAUCGGCCACACUGGAACUGAGACACGGUCCAGACUCCUACGGGAGGCAGCAGUAGGGAAUCUUCCGCAAUGGGCGAAAGCCUGACGGAGCAACGCCGCGUGAGUGAUGAAGGUCUUCGGAUCGUAAAACGCUGUUAUUAGGGAAGAACAAAUGUGUAAGUAACUAUGCACGUCUUGACGGUACCUAAUCAGAAAGCCACGGCUAACUACGUG